AAAUAAUCAACCAACUCCUAAGUGGAUUGAAGUCAAGAGCCAUGUUCAAAGCGGAGGGUAUGAGUGUGGCUACUACGUGAUGCAUUGGAUGUGGAACAUCGUCAGUGGGGGUUUAAAGAAUGAUUGGAGCAUGUGGUUUCUUGAUGGAACGGCGUUAGACAACGAAACAAUUACAACGAUUUGGCAGAAAUGGGCAGCAUAUUUUCUUAAAGUUCAA